CCUACGGGUGGCAGCAGUGAGGAAUAUUGGUCAAUGGACGAGAGUCUGAACCAGCCAAGUAGCGUGAAGGAUGACUGCCCUAUGGGUUGUAAACUUCUUUUAUAUGGGAAUAAAAUGUUCCACGUGUGGGAUUUUGUAUGUACCAUAUGAAUAAGGAUCGGCUAACUCCGUGCCAGCAGCCGCGGUAAUACGGAGGAUCCGAGCGUUAUCCGGAUUUAUUGGGUUUAAAGGGAGCGUAGGUGGAUUGUUAAGUCAGUUGUGAAAGUUUGCGGCUCAACCGUAAAAUUGCAGUUGAUACUGGCAGUCUUGAGUACAGUAGAGGUGGGCGGAAUUCGUGGUGUAGCGGUGAAAUGCUUAGAUAUCACGAAGAACUCCGAUUGCGAAGGCAGUUCACUGGACUGCAACUGACAGUGAGGCUCGAAAGUGUGGGUAUCAAACAGGAUUAGAUACCCUUGUAGUC
rnacentral:rRNA from 1 species